UACGGGGGGGGCAAGCGUUGUUCGGAAUUACUGGGCGUAAAGCGUGCGCAGGCGGUUGUGCAAGACAGAUGUGAAAUCCCCGGGCUCAACCUGGGAAUUGCAUUUGUGACUGCACGGCUAGAGUGUGUCAGAGGGGGGUAGAAUUCCACGUGUAGCAGUGAAAUGCGUAGAGAUGUGGAGGAAUACCGAUGGCGAAGGCAGCCCCCUGGGAUAACACUGACGCUCAUGCACGAAAGCGUGGGGAGCAAACAGG
rnacentral:rRNA from 1 species